AAGUAGCAGUACUUCCAAAAAAUUUCCCUUCUGGAUCAUCAGCAAACAAGAUGAUGCAGCUACAAAAGAAGUGUGCUUCAACAAGAGUGCGUGAUACAUUUUGCAUGAAAAACCAAAGACAGCUUGACAGUAUGUUCAAGUACCUGAAGGGCUUUUUACAGAAGAUGGGCAGACUUGUUCAAGACAAACAAAAUAAGAAAUAAUAGAACUAAAUUAUAAAUAAUUACAUCUUGGUUGGACAGUACAGAGAAACAGUAACAGCUGUUUCAUAAUGAAAUUGACUAUUUCAGGAGCAACAUUUUAGAAAUCUACGUACUUAUUAUGGAAGCCUAUAUAAUCCUUAUGCAGAUUCUGAUAAAAAAUACAGUAUUAUACAAUGCAUUUUAGAGCAUCUACUUUGAAAAAGCAACAUUGUUUGGAAAGAUUUCAUUUUACAUAAGCAUCACAGAAUGGCAGGAUGGAAAUGUAUUAAACAAACCAACAAAUGUGCAGAAGGGAAAACACUGAUACUUUCUUCCAUCAGGGGAAGCAGAAAUUGUGCAAUUACUACAAUAUUACUUUUGAUAUCUUGUGAAGCAAUAGAACCAAAUAUUAUCCAAACAGAGAAAAGUAACGUACCUGUCGAACAAAACUGUUUGAGGUAGUGUCAGAAGAUGUACUCCCAUCUGAGCCUUUAAAUCUGUUUUUCCUUCUUGCACCUUUGCCGUAAGACUGUUAAAAUAAAACAUUAAUUGCUAUCAUUUUACUUGGCAUUAAAAAUUGAAUAUACUAUGUACACUCUAAUCAUGCAUACUUAUUUUGCUUAUGCAUUCAAGUAAAAUUAAAUAAAAAUAUUUUAACUUUGCAUACAUUUAAUAUUAAAAAUAAAGAAGCAAAAGGCAUACUUUUUGCAUCAUUUAAUGCAAUCUUGUAUAUUAGAUUUUUCUAACUAACAAUUCAUAACAAAAGCAUAGCUAUAUUGAAAAACUAUCAAAUUUGCAUAUGCCAUAUCAUGUUUUAACAAGGAAUAUAGGGAUAUUCAGGAUUCAGAAAUAAAAUUUCAAGAAAUUCCUUCUCUAUUGUUGGACAAAAAAAUACAGCAAAUGCCUUUUACUUCUGCAUGAGAAGUUAUCUAUUUUACCAUUAUCUGAAACCAUGGUUUGUUUAUUCAUGAUUAUAUAAAUCAAUUAGCUAUAC